rnacentral:misc_RNA from 1 species
GAUGAGCUUUGGUUGUGUUAGUAGCAAUUGGAACAAGCCACUGCAAAGUUUUCUCAAUUUCAGCUUUGAUUUGUGUGACUGUAAGCUCUUCCUUUACAUGGAAUNGGAGCGCAAGGCAGAUUUGAUACUGGGUGGCAACGCUUGGUAUAAGGCAUCCCUUGUAUUUGGAGGGACAGAAUUUGAUCGGGACACCAAAGUGUCAAUCUGAGUGAUAAUAUUUGCAUAAUGCAAGGCAAGACUAGCAGAACCCAAUUUUCUCUGACAGCUCGAACCUUUUACCGGUCUAUCAGCAUCAGCACUACCAAAAGCUUCAUGGAUCUCCAAGUGC